UUGUUAUCAAUAUCAGAGCUCUUUGAGUCCGACUACUUAAUUGAGACUUCUUCACUUCAGUGGAACGACAUUUCUUGCGGAUCUUGAACUCUGUCAAACAGCUGUGGAUUCAUCUAAAGACUAGUGACUUACUUUGUUUUGACAUCAUGACUUCUGCUACGACGGCAAGGAAACAAACACCAAGUGAUUUCUUGAAGCUCAUCAUUGGCAGACCAGUUGUCGUUAAACUCAAUUCAGGAGUAGAUUAUAGAGGAGUCUUGGCCUGUUUGGAUGGGUAUAUGAACAUUGCCUUGGAGCAGACGGAGGAGUAUGUCAAUGGUCAGCUCAAAAACAAAUAUGGAGAUGCUUUCAUCAGAGGAAAUAAUGUGCUAUACAUCAGUACGCAAAAGAGGUUCUGACGACCGCAUGGUUACACGGGACUAGCUGCUCUUAUCUCAGCAUUGUAAAUAUUCACCAAGAACUGUACCAACUACCAAGAAGGUAGAUUUUUUUCAUGAGGACCAACACAGUAUGGAAAAAUGUUUCUGGCUUUCUGGUUAGACAAGCGACCAGGAAGACUGUAGGGGAUGAGCCUCAUGAUCGUGACCUAUUUUGGUUUGAUAUGGAAACGACCGACAUGCAUCUGGCAGUUGGAUACAGUCAUUUGAACUUGCUUUACGGCGUCUGAAAUGUAGACUUCAAUCUCAUAUGGUCCAUAUUAUGGCUGUUCCUGUGUCUGUCCUGCAAGUAUAGACUCUACUUGGACACACUGACAAAUUUCAUGGUCAUUAAUACUACUCAGUAAUUGUAAAGAGUUUGACAUGUGGUGUAUAAUUCCAAAGAGUCAUAGAACAUGUUUUCUUGUUCUCUCUGGCUAGUCUGAAACUGCAGACCCUUUUUUGGUAGUAAACUAUGGACUCUGUUUUGUUUUUCUUCUGAUUUUUUCUUCUUUUCAGCCAUUCUCUGGAACAGUCAAUCACUAAAUAGAGUCUGGCAUAUAUAUACUGUUUUUAUAUGCCUCAUUCUUUAACUGGUUCUUGUAUUAAGUCUGCAAAAAUAGACCUAUUGUGACAAACCAUAGUCGUCAAAGCCCAGCUCAAAUCAACAGUGCCCAAUAGACAUUUAUUUGUGUAGUCUAUAAAUGUAACAAGUUCAGACCCUGCACACAAAAUCCUUUUGUGCACAUGGCUCUUCAACCAUAGUCUAGCUACAGAAAGUUGAGCUGCAAAUUUCUGGAAUUAUCAUUAUUUCAUGAUAAAGUAAAAAUGAAGUCUGUACAUGCAGAAUGCAUUCCCUUUGACUAGUUUUCUUCCAUUUUUGCCCCUGUAGUUGAUUAUCAUGUUCAUGAUGGUUUCUAAAUAUGAUUAACAAUCACUAUGGUUCAAAGCAUUAAGAUCAAUGGGUCAGAAUGUCUUUGUAUCGAUGUGUGAAGAAGUAAGUGAGAAUAUCACUUUUUUUUUUGUUAUCUGAAGAUUCAAAUUCCAUUUAAUUUGUUUAACUUGUUCAGUUUUAUACAGACCAAUAGCCCAAAAGUCUUCUUUCUGUAAAAUUGUGCAUGAAUCUAUUUUUUCCCAUCUUCUUUUAAAGUGUCAAAAUGGAUACUUUUAAAAAGUAGCAAGCAAAUCCCUUCAUUGCAAGAAAACAAAUUGUCUACAUUUAUUUUACCUUAGAUAUUUUAUAUGAUCUGGCCAAGAGCCUAUAUUAAAAGUUUUAAAUUGCAUUUUUAAUCUUAAAUUAUCUGAGUUAGGGAUAUAGGCCUUUCUGUUUUGUUUUUUGCUGGUACCUAGUACAUUGAUUGUGUUUUUGCUCAUUCAUUUGAAACCUUAACAGUGCCAUUAAUGCAUUUAUCAGAAUGAUGAUCCUACAGAUACCAACCAUGUGCCCCGGCCCAUUAAGUCCUUUGGUUAAUCAUAUCCUCCGGUCAACCAUUUUCUCCGGUCAACCAUGUUCUCCGGUCAACCAUGUCCCCCGGUCAAUCAAGUCCUUUGAUCAAUCAUGUCCUCCGGUCAACCAUGUUCUCCGGUCAACCAUGUCCCCCGGUCAAUCAAGUCCUUCGAUCAACCAUGUUCUCCGGUCAACCAUGUUCUCCGGUCAAUCAUGUCAUCUACUGAGAACCUGAAGGGUCUUAACUUGCAUCCUUUUCUUUUAGAAAGAGUCGGUAACCUUCUACCUCUCAACGAACAAUUUGUCAUUAUUGUCUACUUUAUGUUGAAGUUAAGAAAAAAACAAUGAUAUUGUAUGCUUGUUACAAGUCCAUGUUUUGUAAUAAAAUUCAAUUUGACUUUAAGUUCAAUCAA
rnacentral:lncRNA from 1 species